rnacentral:tRNA from 1 species
ACUUCAUCAGUGUAAUUGGAAGCACGUCCGGCUAGCAAUCGGAAGAUUUGGAGUUCGAAUCCCAGAUAGGGUA